CGACGUGGGGAGAGGCUGGUAGCCGCUCAUUAAACAAACGCCUCGAUGACGUCAGGAAGUAUCGCGGGACCAUCGAAAAUCAAUCGUCGCGGCUGGGAAACACCGUCGCAAGUUACCGAUCGAUCCCUCGAUCGUUCGCUACGUCACUGGUUUUUCAUUCUACGUACGAUCUAACUCUUUCUACUUGCCGCUUAGUUGCAGGAACGUGGUCCGGUUCGAAGGUCUGUUUCUACUGCCGUCGCUGCACACGCCUCGCAUAAACGAACUGCGCGCAACCAGACCAACUUUCCGUCGACGGAUUUACUCCGAUUAAUUGGUCGCUCUUCGAACGCGAUUCUGGUUUCAGACUUCAAAUGUUCCGAGAAUGAACAUUUGACGGCAGGUGAAGAGAGAUACAGAUACAACGAAACAACAUUUUAAGAAAAACAUGAAAUGUUACUGAUAUAUGAGAACAGCUGUCGACGUCUUAGCAUUAAAAACUGCAAUACAUCGAGGAAGAAACAAACAGGAACAGCGAAGACAGGCAAAAGCGGUUGCACUGUUAAAAAUUCAAAAACGAGAAACACAGGUUUCAUAGUCAUAAGUGACAUGAUACUGCGUAGAUUCAUUAGCAAGUAGGGGGGAAUUUUAACGGCUUAUAAAACGUUACGUCACAUUAAACGCAGACAGGUUGUCCUCCGUUUUCAGAUGGUAAACCUUCGUGUCAACAUGGUGCACAGUGUGAUCUCUAUAUUUAUACUGGUUGGGGCAGCAAAGCUCGGUAGCGUUCAUUAAACAAACAUCUCGAUGACAUCAGAAAGCAUCGGUGGAUCAUCGAAAAUCGCUCGAUGCCAUUAACAGCGAUUACUGAUCACUCGAUCUUUCCUACGAACUCGUAGUUUCGUCGAUUUAUCGUGAUUUGUCGAUCAAACCGUUGUAAUCCACGUCGAAUUAUGUCUGUUUGGUUGACUUUUGAGAACCAUCGCUGUUUGUUUUAGUUAGUUUCUCGUUUUUCUGAUCGUCCACUUACAAAAUGAAAUCGUUUUAGGUUUAUUUUUGAUUGCGCGUAUUUUAGAAACGUAACAAUCAAUGUCAACCAAAUAUAACUAUUCUGAAAAGACGAAGAAUUAGAAAUUGUUAUAUGCUCGAAGAAUUCACGAGGAAAUUGUAAAGGAUACAGACAUAUAGAAAACCAAAUUGAUAGUUGAAAAUUCGUAGAGCUUUCGAGAGAGUGGAAAUCUAAUUCUCGGAUAAAAAUUUCGUCCUUUUUAAUUAUAAGUGAAUUUUAAUAAAAUUUGAUGUGUUCCAAACAUGUUUUAUGUAGUGUAUGUGUUACUAGAUGAAACUUGUAUCCGCUAUAUUUCUACUGGUAUUAGUCUAACGCUAUAUCGAUAGCUCUUACGCUUGAAACUUUGUAUUCAUGGCACACACUUUAAAAACCUGAAAUUCUGUGAAAUAAAAAUUACAAGGAAAUUAAUA